rnacentral:lncRNA from 1 species
AGCAAUAUCCUUCUUUUAAAUGGAUUUCUUAUUGUUCCAAAGAUGUGGCAUUUCCAAAAGAAAAUUCUUCCAUUUAUGCAUAGAACCUUGAACUCUAGUCUUUAAAAAUCUAGGCUUUAGUUUCAGCUCUUUUUUAGCUGUGUGGUCCUGGACAGGCCCUUUUACAUCUAGACUUGGAGAUUUAAAGAAAAUCAUAAAGAAUUAAAUGAGAUGAUUUCUAAGACUCAUUUCAUUUUAAAACUCUGAUCUUUCAGAGACGCACAAAUCCAUUCCCUCUUGCUGUGGAGGAGAAAAUACAUGAAAAUCUGAAUCCAUAUGCAUUUGUCAGGGUUCUCCAGAGACAUAAAACCAAUAGGAUGUAUGUGUUUAUAUAGAGAGAUUUGUAAUAAGGAACUGGCUCACCCAGUCAUGGAAUUCCAUAAUCUGCAUCAUCAAGUGUCAUGGUCUGUAGCUGGGAAGCUGGAGACCCAGGAGAGUCCAUGGUGCAGCUCUACCUUGGCCUCUGACAGUGCUGGGAUUAUAGGUGUAAGCCACCACACCCAGCCCUGAGUGACAUUAUUUCAUACAAAAUUCUCAUCUCUGGAGGCCUUUGUAUUUUUAGGGGUUUUGUUUUUCAAAUGCUUUUUACCUCUUUCUAUACUUGUUCAUUUUUAAAUGUUUCCUGGCAGAGCAAUUAGUAUUUUCUGGCUUACUAGGUGCUAUUCGAUUGCAUUAGCGUUUGAAUAUUACCCAGCUAGUUGUGGAGUGGGGCAGUAAGCUCAUAAAGAAGCAAGAUAAUGGAAUACACAAAUAUUACUACGACUUUAUGGGUGGCAUACCUUGAUUCUUGAUCCACGUGGCUGUGUUCAGAUCUGGUUAGCACACAUUGACAUCAGGGGCUGAGCCACCAGUGAGAGUCAAACCCAGCAGCCCUGUCAGUCUACCUUCUCUCUUGACUUGAUCCAGCCUCAUAACUUCACUUUCCGCAGGAGAAACACACCUCUUGAGGUCCUCUGUCACAAAUAGGCAGUGUUUCUGGAGAAAGCCAGGAGGCAGAUUUUAGUGCUGUUCAGCAUCUGUGGUCUCUACUUUCUGGAUCUGGUGCAUUAUGGAGACCAUGAAAUGACAUGAAAUAGCUCAGUGCUGCCAGUGGCGGUGACAGGGACACUAGAGGUGAAGGAGGGCCCUUGGGGCAAUUCCAGCAGGUGGGUGGUGGCUGAAGGUCCUUGUCUUCUUUCUGCAGAGACUGGCCACCUGCUUCAUUCUUUCAAGAAGCACCAAAUCCCUACUUCAGUACUUUGCCCACUCGUCAUGUCAGGAGCAUGAAACUCACGAGGCCUUCAUUUACUUUUAUCCUGUAACACCUUCAAUUUUUCCCACAUCCUCCCUUGAUUCGUGGAUGGACAACUAUGGAGGCCAAUCUGGCUGAGGUGAGGACUGCUUGAGUCUAAAUUCCUCUCUCCUCAAACCCAAUUCAAACUGGCCUGAGCAAAAUGAAUGUAUUGAUCCAUAACUGAAAAGUCCAGAAUGAUCAGGCAUCAGGCAUGGUUGCAUCCAGGGGCCCAUGUAUUAGAACCAUCUCCUUCCAGUUCUGGGCUCUGCUUGCCUCCCAGUUGGUUUUACUGCACAGAGGCUUAUUCAAGUCCAGAGAGAUCUUAUCUUUCCCUACAAGUCUGUGACCUUGAUUCUGAACCUGCAUCUAUGGGAAGGGCUUGCAGUGUCUGAGUGAGCUUGGACUGUGUAAACUUUCCCACUUCUGAAGCUGGGGGUGGGGUUCACUCCACUAAGCUACAUGGCUCUAGAGUCAGGGGGUUGCCCCCUAAGUAACUGGCAGUAUUGUUACCAGAAAAAUCAUGAAUGGACACUGAGCAGAAAACUCAGCAGAUGUUUAUUUCCUGGUCUUUAGGAUUUGUUGAAGAGUUUUUUAUUUGUUUGUUUUUUAAGAAAGACUCAAAAGGAAAAAAAAAAAAAAA